rnacentral:lncRNA from 1 species
UAUAACAGUUAAGCAGAAUGGGAAAAUGGCAUACAAUCUAAUUUACCUUUCCAGCUCUUGGCACAUGGGUAGAUUAAAGAUGUAUAGAGGAAGGAGGAGAGCAUUUUAGCUGGAGGCAGUAAAGGAAGUUGAAUUAUGAGUGAGAGAUCUGAUAGGAAAAGGAAGGAAAUUAAAGACAGGCUGGGUUAUGGAGCCCCUUGACUUCAGGCUGACUUAAAGCAGUAGGCAACAGGGAAUCGCCAAAGGCUGCUGGGCAAGAAACCGUGGUAACGGUCCUAUGGGGGCAAGAUAUCUCUGGCAGCCAGUGCCAGGUGGAUUGCAAAGGGACUGAGUAGGAGGGCUGGAACUCAGGACAAGCUGCUGAGGGAUGCUGGAAAGGAAAGCUUGGUGGACGCGCUGACUCCUGGCACAUUAAGAAUGAAGAAAGUGGUGCCAUCCAAAUGGUUUCUCCGACCUUGACCUCCACAGGCUGGGAGAAUAACAGCACCUCCACCAGGAAGUGUGGUUGGGCACCGAGGAGAGAAUGUGCUUUGUUUCAGGACCCACAGCAGGAAUUUGAACACAGAUCAGUUAGACCCCAAGCCAAGCUCUUAGUCCCAUACAGAGUUGGGCCCUGGUGGAAGAAUUGUUUGGCCUAAAGUGUCAACAGUGUCAAGAUUGAGAAGCCCUUGUGUAGACCCAAGGAUGGGCAAAAGGCUCUUAGGAAGAUGGCAGCGCUUCACAGAUGCAGUGCCCAAGUCUCUCUGGCCACGGAAUCCCCCAGAGUUCUGGUGAUCACCUCCAUAUCUCCAAAUAAUGUGUUUCUACCACCACUUCUUGCUUUAUCAACUAUGCACUUUAUCUACUGACCUUCUACCGGGAUAAAUGAAGACUCAGCUCACCAAAAACUCACCUGCCUCUCUUUCAUCCUUCUUCCCAAGAUAGCUAAAUCAGUUCUUAAUUCUUCUACUGGUCACCUUUGUGUAAAUAAAGC